rnacentral:rRNA from 1 species
CGGCGGACGGGCGAGUAACGCGUGGGUAACCUACCCUGUACACACGGAUAACAUACCGAAAGGUAUGCUAAUACGGGAUAAUAUAUUUGAGAGGCAUCUCUUGAAUAUCAAAGGUGAGCCAGUACAGGAUGGACCCGCGUCUGAUUAGCUAGUUGGUAAGGUAACGGCUUACCAAGGCGACGAUCAGUAGCCGACCUGAGAGGGUGAUCGGCCACAUUGGAACUGAGACACGGUCCAA